rnacentral:snRNA from 1 species
CUGUUGAGGCAUAGGGUAGCACAUCUACUAAAAUUGGAAUGAUACAGAGAAGAUUAGCAUGGCCCCUGCACAAGGAUGCCAUGCAAAUUCGUGGUGUUCCAUAUUUUA